AACAAGGUAGUUUAAGUAUAGAACAAUAAUUUUGCGUAUUUUAGGUAAGUGUUCACACUUCUUUGUUU
rnacentral:tRNA from 1 species